rnacentral:rRNA from 1 species
AUUGAACGCUGGCGGAAUGCUUUACACAUGCAAGUCGAACGGCAGCACGGACUUCGGUCUGGUGGCGAGUGGCGAACGGGUGAGUAAUGUAUCGGAACGUGCCCAGUCGUGGGGGAUAACGUAGUAAAAAUUACGCUAAUACCGCAUACGAUCUAUGGAUGAAAGCGGGGGAUCGCAAGACCUCGCGCGAUUGGAGCGACCGAUAUCAGAUUAGGUAGUUGGUGGGGUAAAGGCCCACCAAGCCAACGAUCUGUAGCUGGUCUGAGAGGACGACCAGCCACACUGGAACUGAGACACGGUCCAGACUCCUACGGGAGGCAGCAGUGGGGAAUUUUGGACAAUGGGCGAAAGCCUGAUCCAGCCAUUCCGCGUGCAGGAUGAAGGCCCUCGGGUUGUAAACUGCUUUUGUACAGAACGAAAAGGUUUCUACUAAUACUAGGAGCUCAUGACGGUACUGUAAGAAUAAGCACCGGCUAACUACGUGCCAGCAGCCGCGGUAA